rnacentral:rRNA from 1 species
UACAGAGGGUGCGAGCGUUAAUCGGAAUUACUGGGCGUAAAGCGUGCGUAGACGGUUAUUUAAGUCGGGUGUGAAAGCCCCGGGCUCAACCUGGGAAUUGCAUUCGAGACUGAAUAGCUAGGGUACGGUAGAGGGAAGUGGAAUUUCCGGUGUAGCGGUGAAAUGCGUAGAUAUCGUGAGGAACACCAGAGGCGAAGGCGGCUACCUGGACAAUUGCUGACGCUCAGGCACGAAAGCGUGGGGAGCAAACAGG